AGUGAACGCUGGCGGUAGGCCUAACACAUGCAAGUCGAACGGCAGCACAGUAAGAGCUUGCUCUUACGGGUGGCGAGUGGCGGACGGGUGAGGAAUACAUCGGAAUCUACUUUUUCGUGGGGGAUAACGUAGGGAAACUUACGCUAAUACCGCAUACGACCUACGGGUGAAAGCAGGGGAUCUUCGGACCUUGCGCGAUUGAAUGAGCCGAUGUGGGAUUAGCUAGUUGGCGGGGUAAAGGCCCACCAAGGCGACGAUCCGUAGCUGGUCUGAGAGGAUGAUCGGCCACACUGGAACUGAGCCACCGUCCAGACUCCUACGGGAGGCAGCAGUGGGGAAUAUUGGACAAUGGGCGCAAGCCUGAUCCAGCCAUCCCGCGUGGGUGAAGAAGGCCUUCGGGUUGUAAAGCCCUUUUGUUGGGAAAGAAAAGCAGCAGGUUAAUACCCCGCUGUUCUGACGGUACCCAAAGAAUAAGCACCGGCUAACUUCGUG
rnacentral:rRNA from 1 species